rnacentral:rRNA from 1 species
GGACUACACGGGUAUCUAAUCCUGUUUGCUCCCCACGCUUUCGCACCUCAGCGUCAGUACCGGACCAGUGAGCCGCCUUCGCCACUGGUGUUCUUCCUAAUAUCUACGAAUUCCACCUCUACACUAGGAGUUCCACUCACCUCUUCCGGACUCAAGAUCGCCAGUAUCGAAGGCAGUUCUGGAGUUGAGCUCCAGGAUUUCACCCCCGACUUAACGAUCCGCCUACGUGCGCUUUACGCCCAGUAAAUCCGAACAACGCUAGCCCCCUUCGUAUUACCGCGGCGGCUGGCAC